GUGAUUAUAUUUAUCCCAAAUUAAGAAAUAGUCGCAGUUUUUGUUCUUGUAAGAAAUUUUCAUUAAUGUGAGAUGCAGAUAACUUCGUUUACGGAAUGAUUAGCAAAAAUUGUGCCAGCGGCUGCGGUUAUACAAUUAAUCAUUGUUAUUUUUAUUGAGAUAUAUUGACAGUUUAUCAUAUUUAUGUAUUUUCUUUAAAUGGUGAUUUAUAAAUGUCGGCCUCUUUAGUGAAAGUGUUGGUUAUAAUAUGAAUAUUAUUGGGUGAAAUCUUAAUGUUUGUUAUUGCUUAUAUUUGGGAUUAAGGAGGAGAAAAGAUGGUCUUACUGGAUUAUAUGAAAUUCAAUUAUUAGACUAGGAUUAGAUACCCUAUUAUUUUGAGUGUAAAGUUGUUCUCUUAGUAUUAUUAGUUAUGGUCUUUAAAUUAAAAGAAUUUGACGGUAAUUUAGUCGCUUCAGAGGAACCUGUCCUUUAAUCGAUGUUCCACGUUGAAUUUAACCUUGAUUAUUAUAUAAUGUUUGUAUAUCUCUGUCUAUAGAAUGUUUUAUUAGAAUUAUUUAUUUUCUUAAAUUUUUAUUUAGAUUUAUGUCAGGUCAAGGUGCAGCAAUAUUGGGGGUUGAGAUGGGUUACAUUUAUGGUUUAAUUUUGGAUUAUUGGGUAAUGUAUUAUGCCCUUGAAAUUGGAUUUGAUAGUAAUAUUAAUUAUAUAUUUAAUGUGAUAUUGUGCUCUGAAUUAAGUACACAUCGCCCGUCGCUCUCACCAUUAAGGUGAGAUAAGUCGUAACAAAGUAGGUUUAUCGGAAGAUGAGCCUGGAAUUAUA
rnacentral:rRNA from 1 species